AAAAAAAGGUGUUUUAUUUAUUCUAAGAUCAUGUAAUUAAGUAUUAAGUGCUUUUGGAGAAGUUUUCAAUGGAACCUUUUUAUGACAUUUGCAGUCAUUGCUGCCCAGUUAUUUUUAAAAUUCUGUCCGUCUAUGUGAAAUUAGUCAUAGUUCUCCAUCAAGGUUCAUGUCAAUGCUUUUCUAGAACUGCUUUUAACUAUGCAUUUAGAGUAGUAAACAUUAGGAUCAUUCUCAACUGCUGCAUAUUUUACUCAGUCAUUGCUCUUUGAUGCAUUUAAUCAUCGUCACAUUUGUUGAAGAGAUCACCACAGGAGAGGGCAGAAUAUCAUGCUACUCAGAAUCUGGUUUUCAGAGACUUAAGGAGUAAAGUAAGGGGUUUUAGCACUAGUGCCACUUCAUAUACCAAACCCAACUCAUAGAUGCAAAGUGAAGAGUAGCUGAAAUCUUAAUUUAUCACUGCAUAGUCUUUACUUAUGCCUUUUUCAUGCAAGAAAAUCCCUGAAUAGAUGCCUGCUGAGAUUAGAGAGGCAAUUUUUUUACAGAUUUUAAAAAAUGUACUUUAAAAAAAAUUGUUGUUCAUUUGAGUGGUGUACAUUGAACAAGAUGUGCUUUCAUGUGUCAUUUGUGGAAUUUUAGCCUUGCUCUUGAACCUAAAGGCACUGCUGAAAAGCUGUAGGACUGCAUUGUCUACUGAGGCUGAUACAGUCUGUGUACUUAAGCUGUGAUAAAGUUCAUGAUGAUGUGGUUAAAAUGUUCUUUUUUUCUGCACACUUUUAGACAGAGAGCUGUCUCUAAAAAUGAGAAGAAGAAAAAUGUCAAGCAGAUAAACCAAAAGAAGAAUUGUUUUCAGCUAAAGUUGUGUUUUUCUUUGACGUCUGAUGGAUGAUGCUGUGACUGUGGCAUGGAACUCACUGUUAGUUCUCCCAGAAAGGAGGAAUAUGGUCCAUGAUGCAGAGAUCCUCUCUGGGAUUUUAGGAAUGUUGAGACGUGCUGGUUAUAAAGCCCUAAGUACAAAAUGGUCACGGAUGGCUGGAAUGAGGCAUGUUCUAAUGGAAACAAAUCACUUGUCAGUAAGCAGCCUUCAAACUUUUGAACAAAAGCUCAAAAGGGUCAGGGAAAAGACAUGUUUGUUGAUUUAAAAUGGCUGGAUGCAGGUCAUCAGGAAGGCAUAGGCUUCAAUAUUGUUGAGGUAACUCUUCAGUUCUGUGAGUUAUAAACAAGGUUAAAUACUUUGAUGGCAACCACAAAUGGAAUGAGGAACUUAAAUUAUGCAGAAAGCUCACACAUUAUAAAGUGAAGUGUGCAUAAUACCAAAAUGUAAAGCACGUACACCACUGCAAAACAGCCGCAGAAUGGAGCUGAGCUGUGGGAGCCACAUUUAGGUAGUUGUACAUGACUGUGAGGAAGACUGUGCUGUAUCUACUGAAAUUUAGAAGGGUGACCAGUAUUCCUGUACAUGUCUGUGAUUCAUUGAUAUUUUAGUUAGUUAAAAUAGUGUAGCUUAGCUUCAUAGUGAUUUGAUGAUACAUCUAAAUCCUGAUUCUGUUUAUUCACUUUUCUAUAGAUUUUAACUCUAAGUGAAAUUAUUCAGUACAGUAGUUAAUUUUUUUAUAUCUGCUUGCAAAACCCAUAGUAAGGUUCGUGACCCCUAGAACAACUAUAAUGAAGGAUCAGCUCUCCUUUUUCCUGUGUAAUAUUUUGUGUUGCUCUGUGAAAUGAAAAAUGUUGGUGUAUAAUAAAUUGUAUAAAGUGGAUGAAUUACAGUCCCUGUGGAACAUCAUGUUGAAUCUCUUAAUUCUACUAUGGCUUGGUUUCAUAAGAAAAUGAUGCUUAUGCAAUCUUCCUUUAUGAUUCCUGUCUGUCUGCUAUUUGCCCUCACAAGCAGCUUCUGAACUUGUUCAGUCUUCGGCUGGAUUUGAAGAGUUGCAAUAAUUAUAUUUUGACUAGGUUUGUGGAAACUGCUUUCUGUCUAGAAAGAAGAAGAGAGGCAGAGUUAGUACCACUGUAGAGGGGAAGGCGGGUACAGAAAUUGCUAGCAGUCAACAUGGGGCUCCUUGGAAGAGUACACAUAGUUUUGUGCAUAAAGGAACACAGUGGGGACUGAUGAGUCAGGUUUGGGCACAGGUGACUGGGCAAAGAAAUCUGAAGGGACAAAGGUUUGACCUCCAUUAGUAACCAGGUUUCAUUUCAGUGUUCAUGGAAUAAUUUCAUUUUGGUAUGGAAAACAGCAGGACGAGAAAAUGGAAUGACUCUGUUGUAAAAUGGUAUCUGUGAGCUUCAAAGUGCAGGGCAGUCUUUUGGUGUUUCUGAGGUUUACUCUGCUAAGUAAACAUUAUUCUGCUUUCAAAGGGAAGAAACUGAGACACUUUCAUCACAGAGUUUUGACUUGCACAAAGGCACCAAAUGACUCAGCAGAAACCAGGUACAGCUUACAGAUGUUUAGGUGGCCUAGAAUCGUUUAAUCAUUUAGGCUGGAAAAGAUCAUCAAGCCCAAACUUAAUGCUAAUACUGCUAAGCCCACCAGUAGAUCAUACCCCCAAGCACCACAUCUACACAUCUUUUAAAUACCUUCAGGGAUGGUGGUGAUUUAACCACUUCCUGGAAAGCCAGUUCCAACUUCAGCCCUUCUGCUGAAGACAUUUUUUCCCAUAUCCAAUUUCUCCCCAAAUUGAGGGGCAACUUGAAGCUAUUUCCUCUCAUUCUGCCACUUAUAAUCUGUGAAAGAGGCCAAGCCCCACCUUGCUAGUCAUAUGUCAUGACCCUUUUAGUCAGAUGUAGACAGCAUAAAGUCUCCCCUGGGCCUCCUUUUCUCCAGGCUAAACAACCGAGCUCUCUUAGCCUCUCUUCAAAGGACUUGUGCUCCAGACCCUUCAUCAACUCAAUUGCCCUUCUGGACAAUCUUCAGCAUUUCAAUGCCCUUCUUGUAGUGAGUGGUCCAAAACUGAGCACAGGAUUCCAGGUGUGGCCUCAUCAGUGCUGAGGAUAAGAGGACAAUCACUGCCCUGGUCCUGGCCAAUAUGGCCAGCAACUUACACAGAUCUUCACUCACCAUAUGUCAUAGCCAUGCCAAAUAUUCUCCUUCCUCAAGGGAACCUCAUCACUGCUCCGCAUUCUUACUCUUUAUGUUGUUCUUUGGGUCUUUUAAAUUGUCAUCUGUUAUUAUUGCCUUGCCUGUUCAAGCCCAGCAAUCUCUUGCCAUCCACAAAGGUUGUUGUAUGUGUUGCCAUGACAAGGAAAAUAUCUUCCAAAUGCCACUUGUUUUGUUUGCCAAAUGCCACUAAUAGUUGUUUUGUUUCUGCCAGAAAUGAGGCCAUGCUGAUGAAGAAGGAUUGCAAAGUAGUCUGCAGAGAGCUCCAGGUGGUAUGGACCAAAGCAGCCUGAUACCUGAGUUGGUUUUGUUUGAAGUUAACUUGGAGUUGUCCAUAGUAUCCUGAUCUCCUCACCUGCUAUAAAUAUGGCAGCUAGAUAUUUUUCAUCCUGCUCUUCUUUCCUGACUUAUACAUCAUGUGAAGGACACUCUGAGACCAUGGGGAGGAGUAAUUGUGGGAGACACUUCUCUUCAGAUGCUACACUGCCUAGAUGAAAGCUUAUCAGCAGCUUGGGUUUCUCAGCAUUGAUGCAGGUGGGUUUCCAAACACCUUAUAUUUGCAUUAGAAAUGGCAUUACCCUUACAUACAAGCAUUGUUUCAGUCCUGCUGCACCGCUGAAGCUCUGUGUUGAAGCCUGGUGAUCUGUCAUAGACUGGGAUAGAUCUGGGUCCAGGGAUAGAGGAGGCAUGAGGGAAGGACUGAGAUUUGCUUCCAGUACCAUGAUUAAUUUGUAUAUAGGAGUGCAGCAGCACUGGGAAUAUGCUAAAUGUUGGGCUGGGAGGGAAGGUAGAUGUACUACUGCAAGCUGCUGCUGUGUCUCCCUACAGGACAAGCAGAUUUCUCUUUGCCCAAAUAAGCAUCAGAUAGGAAAAAACACUUUUAGAAAACUUGAGCCUUGAUACUAUACUCAUUUCUGGGAAAGAAUUAUGCCUCCUGCUCAUGUGAAUUGAAUUUAAUGUACUCAUGCAUGCACACACACACACACAUUUUUGGGGUUUUUUCACAUAGCUGUCAAAAAUAACACUGAAACAUGUAAGUUAAGCAUGCUGUUGUAACACAAUGGCACUUCAUUACUGUUGAGGGCAGCUCAGGUUUCCUUCUGAGUGUAUCACCAGCAGGCAGUAAUGGAGUAGUACAGAGGGCAUAUGAAAAGAACAGCGCAACCUCAUGCCAUUUAAUCCUAAAUGUCAGGCAUGGUCAGUCUUCCCUGGUGAGUUUCCCAGUGUAUGGAUUUAGCAUCUUCAAAAAUUAACUCUCAUGGUGUUUAAUUCAACAUAAAUAAGGUAAUAUCAAAUUGUCUUCUCCAGGAGAGUUUUUUAUCCAAAUUACAGCAGUUUGCCUUAUAAAUAAUUUCUCUUCAAUCAGCAGUCUCUCUUUCCUCUGUAAAUCUUACUAUCUUAUUUUCAUAACUUGCUACUUCUCUGACUUUCAAUUAACACUUCGUUUAUGUUCUUUACUUAGACACUGUAGGUGUAGCCUUUUGAAAUUUUUCCCUAAUGUGGUUUUAGUGCUGUCACUUCACUUAGGGCCAUGGUAAUGACUAACCUCUGCUCCUGUACCUCUGUUGCUAUGUUGCAUAAUGACUUUUCAGAAGUUCUGAAUUAAUGCAGGUCGGUUGAUAAUUUCAGGCUACAUGGCAAUAUGGUGCCUAGAAAAAAAUCCAUUUGUAAUCUGAAAAAUCUUAUGGAAGUGUUGCAUAACUUGAGGAAUAUAUUAGCUCAUUAAGUAGAAGCCUGUAGUGUGAGAAUGUGUAAACAUGAUUAUUAUCACUUAAAAAAAAAAAAAAGCUUUAUUUCUUAAGUAGUGUUCUCACAAUACAACAUCAUAGUAGCUCCAGGUAAUGGUAGUUGUUGCAAGGAAACCCUUCUGCUCUGGAGUCCUGUCACCUACUAAAGCUCAUUCUGCAUGCUGGUGCAGCAUGACCUGUGCUCUGAGUUUCCUUGCUAAAUGUGCCAUGUGUGGUGCUGCUGUAGAAAUUCUUGCUGUGCCAUUUGCUCCACUCUGGCCCAUUCUAGUUUGUAUGCCACUCAUCAGCUGUCAACAGGCAAAGAAGAAAAUUUAAAUCACAUGAGGUCACUAGCAAGUAGGUUUUUAGGAAGUUGAUGGAAGAAAACAUAGCAACUAGUAUCUAUAAAAUGUGAGUUCAUUUUCUGUUUAGAAUACAAGGGGUUUUUCUGCACAGAUAACAAGAUACUAUUUUUUAGCUCAUUAUGUAAUGACAAUUCAAGAUGAGAUCAUGAUAGUGAGACCACAGCAGUUACUAGGGAGUGUCCAGAAGCACUGAGUAGCUGGCAUGAUGGAAAGGGUUGUUAUGAAAUUGGUUUUAAAAAUAAUUUUGGAAUUCUAACCCUCUUUUUGCUUAUUUUAAGAUUCAUAUGCAAUGUCUUGAAUGUCUAUGUCGUGAAUUAUGCUGCUAGUAGAUCCCCCCAGCUGGUCUGUCCAGUAACUGUUGGCUAGUAGUAUCAUGUUUCCGUGUUAAAACUUUAAAAAUAAUUUAAUGAUAGCUAUGUUUAGUGACAUCAUUUUAGCACCCAUAUGACUUGACUCUCCCUUGCACUCUGCCUGAGACCAUACAACAGCUGCGUUGUACCCAUAUAUGUCACAGGCAAAUUUAUAGAAAGGGUGAAUUAUGCUGUCACUGAUUACUGCAUCUCUGUUAGCUGUAUAGGCUCUAGGUUCACUACACAGAUGCUUGAGCCUUCUCUAGUCUUCAUAAACCUUUGAAGAAAAAGCAUUAAAAGUUUCCUGAAGGAAAGUCUGUACUGAUUAUUUUCAAUAAUAUUACUCCUUUUGGGGUGGAAAAUACAAAUUUGGAGACAGAUGAUUUCUUCUUAAAAUACUGUUUUUAUUGUCUCUCUGCAUUUAUUGUCUCCUAAGUACUCCAGGGCAAUAUUAAUAGGUUUAUUCUAUUAAGGAAGAGUAGUGUUUCCAAAAUAAUAGUUGAAAGAUACUGAUCUUCCCACUAGAAGGCUUUUGCACAGAGAACCUCUAUUGUUCAGGGACAGUUAUUUCUGGAAAACCUUGUAUCUCCUGUCUUCCUUACCUACCUGCUUUGCUAUUUUCAUGCUGCUGUGAUUUGGUAUCACUUUGCAUGCUAGUAAUUCUUUUUAUAGUAAGAUACAAUGCAACAUUGUUACUGGUCAGAAUUUGCUCUUAGCUACAUUGCUGUCAAUUCAAGGUAAGUUGGCCAGUAUCACUGGCAGAUGCACAGCUGUAAACAGGAUUUGUUUGCCUUUUUCUACCAAUCAGAGAUUUCUUUUUGUCCAUUUAAGAAUAUAUUAUUUUCGUUUUCCUCUUUAGAGGAAUAGUGUUUCUCUUGGCCAACAUCAGAUUAUUUUUCCAUCAGUUAAGAAAAGCUCUUGCUGCAGAUAACGGUGUGAUCUCCUGAUAUGGGUAGAAGCGUACUCUGAGAAAAAUUAAUAUUGAGUGUGAUACCUCAAUGUGUCUUUAACUGUCAUGUAAUGCAUUAUGUUUGCAUUUCACAGGACAGCUAGUUCAGAGGAUGCUGUUGAAAGUUUUACACUAUCUUUACCGUGGAAGAGAUAGGAGAACUACUUUGACCACUCUGGUUCCAGUUCAGGUAUAAAGCUGUGUAUUGUAGUCUUGAAGUCUGUGUAACAAAGAUGUCUGAGCAAUGUCCACUCAGGACCAUGUAUGGAUUUAACUUACCCUGCUGCCUUUCCUUUUGAAGUCCAGAUUGCAGAGUGAUUUGGUAGGUAAACUGGGCUGUGCUGUCAGUUUCACCCUGGAGAGUGUGAUUUUUUUAAAAAUCUGAUUUACAUGACAGGCAUACUUAAAAGACCGGUCCUGAGUCUCUGGUGGCAGGUGACAAAACUAAGGUAUUAAUAAAGAGAAGAGCUGAUAAUGCAACCUGUGUGAUCAAUCCUGUGCUGUGGUCUGUGUCCUCAGAGUGAUGAGCAGCAGCCAGGCUGAAACAUGUAACAGGAAGGCUGUGUGGUCUGCCACAGCUGGCUGCUGGCUACUAUUCCCAUCUUGUUAUAGAAUUCAUUCUGGUUAAUAAUAAAUUCAGUUAAAAACUAUUUAAGUAAAACAGCCUGAUGUGGCUUGUCAGAUACAGUAUUGUGUCGGGAAGCCAAAAGAUGCAUUUGCUCCCAGUUUUCUGUCGUGUUUUGUAACAGUAGGCAAAUUGCCCAUUCCUCCACUCAAAACAAAUCCAUUGUCAGUCCUGCUUGCUAGGCAGACAGAUUGUUUUGGGAAGAGGCUGUAUUUCAGGGUGUGCCUCUACAAUAUCUGGAUAGGCCAUGGCCAAGACAGGAAUGCCUAUCACGUAUGAGCAUCUGUAGCACGUGUCACUAUUACAGUGCAAAAUGAACCAAUGUGCCCUUGGAUGAUGACUCCCCUGCUCUCUGUAACCUGCAGUAGGUUUGGGAGAUGGCUCAGUAAAACCAGUUUUCAUAGAAGAAAUUGGGUCUUCAGGAAGAGAGAGUGAAAUGAGAGGGACAAGACGAUUGAUGCUGUUGACCGAGUUAAGAGGAUGAAAUGAGAUGUGGGACAGAGCCUGGUUUGGGAGGAAAGGCACAAUGUUUGCAACUGACUUAACAUAUGGCAGCAAAUCUGUGAAGUGGCUCAAAUAAAGGUCCUAAAUGUUUUGUCUGUCCUACAUACCCAUGGCAAGUUCAAGCACAGUUAUCUGGGCUGAGCUUCCAGGGCUUAGGGAUCAUCAUGUGCAGGGGCUUUUCACUCUCCCCAGUUUGUGACUGACCAUGAACACAGAGGUGAUUUCCUCUCUUCCUGGAAUUGAACCAUGCCUUGAUCCCAAGCCUCAUGGGAGAAAAUUGAUAUGAUAACAAACAGAUAAUGAAUCUGUUUGUCCUCUUGUUUACUGAGUUGUAAACGUAAAGAAAAUCAGCAGCAAUUGGAGAUGGAAUAUUGCAAAAUUUGUGUUAGUGAGAAGAAAAUAAGACCAGUAUGUUUUUCAGUUUAAGCAAAAAGAAAAGCUGAACAACUUCAUAGGGGCUUUGUUCAGUUGCUUUUAAAAAUGUAAAGAAAAUUCAAGAGACGAGUGAAAAUAUUUGAAUAACAUUAGCACUUCAUUUCAUAGCUACCUUGUUCUCUUGCUGAUCCUUCACUAAAAGUAAAACUUUGGGAACUGAUGGAAUUCAGAAAGUAGCAAUGAAAAUCAUUAAUGGGAUGCUGUCAUUUACUAGGAAAGUGGUUGUGGCUGACAUAUACAAGGUGCUUUGAAAGGACCCAUUAGCACUACGGCUGGAAGUGAAAUACUGAUUAACAUGAUCAAGAUUAUUAAUUUGCCAGAUGAAACAAAAACUAAGAUAUGUCAUAUAUUAGAAGGUAGAGAGGUGAGGAUUUAAUCACAUUUGUUAACUUUUCUCUAACAGAAUCACUUCAUUACAUACCUUGAUUUGUAAAGGCAAUGCUUCCAAAAUGGUAGGUAAAAAAAGAAGAUAGUUUUAAUGCAUUACAUAAGGAGACAUAGGGCAUCAAAGCUAGCAUGAGGCACUUGAGAAAAAAGAUUAACAAACUGAAGCAGACAUUUGAGUUUCAUAAAGCAAAUGGCCCCUGCCAGCAUUUCCUUGCACUUGUCAGUUCUGGCCCUCUGACUGAUACUAAAUGAGUAGCUUCAUACAAUAAGAAAAAUCAGAUUCUUUAGUUGCUUCACAGAUUCACCUGUUUGCCUGUGCAGCUGUAGCUACCUUGCCAGUUGGCUGAACAGCAGUUCUAGGUAGGUAACACUAAGAGCAGAAACUCUUAAAAUGUGGCAGCAUAUGUGAAAAAGAGCAAAGGACCUACUUUUUGUAGCUGCACUAUUCAAGUAAGUAUUGUUUCAUAGCUUUAGUGGAUCACCUAGAGACUUCUUCCCUCAUAUUUGAAGACAGGUUACUUUGUGAAAUAUGAUACUAGGGAUUGUGGUGUAUCCAAAAGCAACAUAAAUGCAUUGCAGAUUGGUUUUGCUGUUUCAGAAACCAUGUUCACAUACACAGUCUUGAAAGAAGGUGGGAGCAAAGCCAACAUAGAAUUAACCACACUGAAUAACUUGCACAUUUUCCAUGAAGUCUUUCAUGUAUUCUCUGCUUUUCAAAAGUGAACAAGGGCCAAAACGAGCCACAUCACUUGGAUUUGCUAUAAUGAACUCCUGCUUCUCUGCAGUCUGAAUCUAAGCCACUAUCCUACACUUACCACAUCAUAAGAAACCACUAACCCUAACCAUGAGACCAGUACAUUCAUGUCUCUACAAUAUGUUCGUUACACUCACAUUAAUAAAGGAAUAUAAUGUUACAAUGCCUGUGCCAUUAAACAACACCUGUUCCAUACAAUGGAAACAAGGCACUCCAUCAUUAAAUAUAUUAUCUUCUUAACAAAGAACUGCACAACUGUUUGGCUAGAGCUGUGAAGCAAAUGGUCUAUUUACAUAUGAAAAGAAAUUUGUGUACAUUUGAUGAAUGACAGAAUAAUUGCUAUAUAUGGUAAGGGAAAUGGAAGUAAAAUAUUUCGUAUAUUCAUUGCUGCUAUUGCCAGUAAGCUGGAAAUGCCUUGAUAUAGCUGUGAAUGUACCUUUCUUGACCAGUUAGGCAAAGCUUACACAGGCUGUGGGCAGCAUCACAAGAGUAAGCUUUAAUUCUAGGAAUCUUAGUGGAAAAGCUCUGGUACAAUGUGUUCAAAUCAUCCCCUAGAAACACACAUAAAAUGGGUUUUGUGUACUUGAUUUCACAGUUCUGAGCACUUAGAAGCCUGGUCUGGCUUUAAACAAAUUCCUGAGUGUGAUUUUUUUUUCCUUUUUAUUUAGUGGACAUUCUUAUUUCUUGUUGUCAUUCAUGUUAUUCUCACCAUACCUUUAAAACCACCCACAAUUAUGGGUCUUGGCCCUAGAUAAGCAACCCCAGCCCAAACCUCUGUGGAAACAGUGGGGGAAAGGUUAAAGGGGUAGAACACCCCAAAGUGGGUUCUAUGCCUUCAGCAACAAGCUGCAGGAUAGAAAGAGAUGUGAUCAAAGGCUUUAGACAAGGGAAAAUGAUAAUUUUCUACUUCAGUCACCUCUUCUACACACACAUGCAUACAUAUACACAAAAGGGAGGAGACUUUUCUUUGCAAAUUUCACUUGAAAUUGCUGCUGUCAGCUGUUAUCUGGAGCUAAAUACUAGACACAGAGUAAAUGUGCUACCCUUGCUGCAAUCCAAUUCUCACUGACCUGGUAGGAGGGGAAGAUGGCAGCUUUGGUGCAAUGCAGUCAGUGAAAAGGUGAGAAAUAGCAGGUGAAGCGAAGGACCUAGAUGGCUGGGGAAGAACAGUAGGUUCUUGAUUUAGGAAUAUCCAUGUUUAGAGGUGUUGAUCUGAUAUGCAGAAAUACCAAACCCUCACAGCAGAAACUGAUGGCAGUGAGAAUCAUGUUCGGCAAAUAUAGAGUGCUCUUGAGUACUGAAAAUUGGAGCUGGCAACUCAAACUGGCCACACAAAUUAGCUUACUGUAUAGACAAAUUUAACUUUUUUUCUCACUGAAACUCAUCUCUUUGUGCAUCUAAAAAUACUAGUAAUGACAUCACACUUUUAGUAAAUGUAUUCAGGUUUAUUUAAAGGGAAAAUAAAAAGUUAAACAGGAAACAAUGUGAACAUAUUAUAAUGUAGAAGCCAGAUAAAAACCUGAGAAAAAGAAAAUUUCUCUUUUGCUUGUAGGGUUUGAAAAGCAUGCAGCAAAUGACACCUGAGAUCUCAUGCUGAAUGAGUAGGAUAAACAUAAGUAUUGAGUAACUGCCCAUUCACUGAAAGAAGGCAAGGUUCUAGCAGAAUAUCUGACCGUGUUUUACAUUAUUUACUUGUCUAUAGGUAUGAAGUGUGUAACUAAACUUGGCCACGGGAACUGAGCUCAGGGAACAUGAUGGGGGGGCUCAAUUAAGAGGCAGAGAAAAACCUUAAUCCUAUUGCUUAAUUUACCCAGGUUCAAGGGCUUGAUUUUGUGAGUCUAAUUAUUCUUUUCACAGUUUUCUUCUCCAAUGCAGUUCAUGGGUAUGGAAAACAACAUGCGCACUUUCUGAAAGACAGCUGGCACAGCUGGUUCCUCAGCACACAUGACCACAAACCAAACCUCAUACUGUCAGCUUAAUCUUUGCUUUGGCUUGUUUAGAUUAGUGACCCAUCAAAAUGUGUCAGUGUAUACCAACCUUUUCUUCCAUAAACAUUUUUUCCCUCUUAUAGCUGAUUUUUGUAUGUGCAGCAUUCUGCAAGCUGCAUAAAUAUCCAGUUCCUUGUGGUUCAUAAGCAUACCCAGGAAAUAGUGAUUGCCUGGUAAAGCAUUUUAGGCUGGCAACUUGGGAUCUCUGUAAUGAGAUCUUGCACAAUGUUUGUUCACUCUUAGAAGAUCAGAACGUUCCUUGCCAAACCCUCAACCUUUAAGUGGAAAUAGGACAUAUUGCCCUUCCAAGAAGACACAGAUAGGAUGGCACAACUCUUCUGACACAGGCAGAAGCAAAGAGACCUAAAAGAAGAAGGUAGGCUCAUCUAAGAAGAUGUGUAACCACGAUUUUCCUCCUUACUGACUCUUGGCAGCAGGUUUCUGCAUUCGUGUUUUGGAACAUAAUGCAUAGCAACCAUGUGUGGGCAAGCAAGAAGAGCUACAACUAUUAGAGCUUUCAUACCUGGUGAAUAGAACUACAGCUCAUAAUAAUGUGAUUUGAUCUGUUUUCAAUUCCUCAUAUUAUUUUUAACAAAAUACAGUUUCUCGCAAUCACAAUGACAAAUCUGGUAUUUAAAACCACAGCAUUUCAUCAAAACUAGGAACUGUAGUAUACCAAAAAAAUGCCCUAAAUAUAAUAAACUGCUGCACUGACUUCUUUUUUGUAUUUUUUUUUUCUGGUGUUUUAUUUCUAUCUCCAUUUAUCUUUACAAGGAUGUUGACAGUUGAUAAAGCUGGCAACGGCACAAAAGAGAAGGGCAGCUAUUCUUCCUUCUUAGAUUAUCCCUAAAUUCUGAUCAUCACAUUAUUUGUUGAAGAAAGUAACCCUAGGAAAAGAAACAGGUAAAAGAAAGAUUUUUUUGAAACUAUAAUAGAAACAGUACUUUUUUAAACUGUCAAAUGAUAAAUUGUCCCAUUGGAUUUUUCAAGAGUGCCUCAUGUCCAUUUUGGAACAAUCAAGUUUUAGUAUAUGGUCAUGGGUUAAAUAAUGAUAUAUUGUGUUGAGAUUCAUAUAAGAUUCAGUAUACUAUGUAAACUAAACUUCCACUGUCAUUUAUGCAUGUUUGUCACUGUCAAGAAUAAAAAUAUUUCAAAAGAUUCAGCAAUUGGUUUAACUUUAAAUGAGGUCCACUGCCAGAAAAAGUUACCAGGAUAAUACAGCUUCUCCUGAAAAUAUUAUUCUUCUUUUCUGUCCUCAGUUAAACAAACUUUGUAGACCUUGUGAAAAUACAUGGUUUUAGUUAGUGGAAAAAGGGUUGGGUAUUUUGUUUAACAAUAGAGGACAUUGUGUUUAUUUCCUUAGAUUGAUGCAGAGAUGCAAUAUCACAAAGUAAGCAAACUCUUGUUGCACUCUGGCAUCUUCGGCCAGUUUUGCCUUAAGGACACAGUUAUAAGGAGGUGAUGAGGUAACUGUUAGUAAACAAAUGAACAGAAAGGAUGUUAAUACUAAGAUAUGACAAGGGGGCCAGCUAGAGCAGAGAAGAGGCAUUUUUGUCUUCUACUUAGGCCAGUCAAAACUGGAAUCCCAAGUUUUACAUAGUGUAAUAUCAGAUAUGCUCAAUGCAUAGCAUGGUCAUAGCGCAGUAAGACAGCAGAUGUUAUGACAGACAGCCUUCAGCUGAGGUUGUCAGAAAUUUAUAUGGCAUCAAAGCAUCCCCAUCUCACCAGAUGUCCUAUUCCAUGAGCCAGAUAGGCACCUACAAGCUGGCUCCCUGGCUGGCUUUUUCUCUGAGGCCCCAAGCAAAAGACAAAGCUGAUUAGCUUGAGAUCCAAGCAGAAUACAGUACUGAGCAGAACUGAUAAAUUAAACUCAUUUACAUUCUUCCUGCAAAGAUUCUUCCUUGAAAAGAAAAAGUUUCAGAUGUGUUGUCUACUCCAGACAUACUAUUACACAUUCCCCCCCUUCCUCUCCCCCCGCCCCAGUUUAGUCUUUCUGUUGAAGAAGAGGUAUGUAGCUGGAAAAAGCUAGAUUUAGACUUUGAAUUACAGUGCAUAAUGUUGCUUUCGCAAGUAAUAAAGACUGGGCACACCAAAUUUGGAAUGGAAACGACAGCGAGUUUCAACCUCUUACGACUCUUACCCAGCAACAGCCCACUUACAAGGCUGGCAGAAGGGAACACAGAGGAUGACUGCUAUAGAGCAGCAUGCACGUGGCUGUCAUUUGUAGAAAGUUACGUGUCUUAUGUGGCAUUGUCAUGUACUAUAUUUUUCAGUCUUUCUCCCCUAUCAUUUUUUUUACUUGAAAAGGCAGACGACUAUUUACUUCAUUUUUCUGUUGGAUGGAUGUAGCUUCUUUUCCCUUCCUAUUUUUCAAGGUUAUUUAAAUAAGAUUCUACUGAUUUUAACAGACAUGAGAGAAGUCAUAUUGAAAGCCAUGACAAUGAAGUCCUGCAUUAGCUUCAUCUAUGAAAUGAUGACACAACUGCACAAGUUGCAGCCAGCCGACCUUCUGAAACAGGUCAAGGGCAGGUUCUAUGUAUUUGAAAUUAAUUCAUGUUUUUUUGUUUAUUUCAUUUUGAACUCUCUUCUGAAGGUGUAUCAUGUUUUUGAUGCUAAUGAUAAUAAUGAUGGAGCUAUUUAUAUUAACCUGAUACCACAAGCAUGUCUUGGUAGGGCAUAUGUUGUACUCCAGCAAUUAUAAUGUUGGUCACUAAUGACCAAAGAUAGCCCAGUGCAUUAGCUAGUACUUUUAAAAGUAUAUGUUAAUUAGAUUUAAUGAGAUAAUUUCCCAAAAAGUAGCCACAAAUAAACUCAUAAAAACAUAAGAAUUUCCUUAGCCCUCUCAUGUACUUAUGCACAGAUAUGUACUUUUGUAUUCAUACAGUUCCUAGUGAUGUGGUGAUUAUUCCACAGGGCACAGUGGUGGGAUAAUUGCUUACUCAUUUUGAGUUCCAGAAAUGAAAGUCUGUCUCUUUAAAUGUGGCAAGUAAACAGCUUUGAAAGAUUUUUACUCAUUUUUUAAAAAAUAAUUUAUUAGGUUUUUCAACUAAGGAAUUAAAAAUCCUGACUGUUUUAAUGCCAGUUUAAAAAGGGCUAGGAAAGCUACAAAUAGCAUGUGCUGUAAAUCUGUGCCAUGGCAGAAACAAUCAGAAGAGUAAAGAGUAAUGAUUAAACAUUUAAUCAGAAGCAUUAUACUUUGUUGUGUUCUCAUUGUAGCUGCAGGAAAAGAUGCUGUAACAGAUCUUUAAAUAGAAAACCUGAGGCUAAAUUCUACUUCAUCCAUCAAAAGCAGCUGCUAGGAGAUGACCUAAUUUUAGUGGCUUAUCAAUUCCUUAGUGCUUGUUGGUUGAUGUAACUUUGAUUCUCUGAUGUUAGAUGACUUUUGUGCUGAAUAUAGCUAGAAUUUAAUGUGAAUCUUUUGGAUGGCUGCCCAGCCAAGCUGCAUAAUCCAAACAAAGAGAGCGAGCAGUACAUGAUUCAAGCUACUCACGUGUACAAUAAUACAAAUAUCUGUAUCCUGAUUCCUUUGGGCAAUCAGCUCCAUGUCACCAAGCACAUAUUUCAAAUACAAUGUCCUUGUGGGGGGUUUUUUUGUCUGAUUUUUUUUUUUUUGUUUCUGUUUUUGUAGUUUUUUUUCCCCAAACAAUACUCUGGUUUUCAUUGGAAAAACAAC